UACGGGGGGAGCAAGCGUUGUUCGGAUUUACUGGGCGUAAAGGGCGCGUAGGCGGUAGCACAAGUCAGUUGUGAAAUUCCCCGGCUUAACCGGCGGGACUGCGAUUGAUACUGCGUUACUUGAAUCAGGUUGAGGUAGGCGGAAUGUGACAUGUAGCGGUGAAAUGCUUAGAUAUGUCAUAGAACACCGAUUGCGAAGGCAGCUUGCUGGACCUGUAUUGACGCUGAGGCACGAAAGCGUGGGGAGCAAACAGG
rnacentral:rRNA from 1 species